rnacentral:rRNA from 1 species
GACGAACGCUGGCGGCGCGCCUAACACAUGCAAGUCGAACGAGCGAGAGAGAGCUUGCUUUCUCGAGCGAGUGGCGAACGGGUGAGUAACGCGUGAGGAACCUGCCCUAAAGUGUGGGACAACAGUUGGAAACGACUGCUAAUACCGCAUAAGCCCACGGCUCGGCAUCGAGCCGGGGGAAAAGGAGCAAUCCGAUUUGGGAUGGCCCCGCUUCCGAUUUGGUGGUUGGGGGGGUAACGGCCCACCAAGGCGACGGAUGGUAGGCGGGAUGGGAGGUGGCCCGGCUACUUUGGAGAUGGGACCCGGCCCCGAAUGCUACGGAAGGGAGGAGAGUGGUAUAUUGCACGAGGGAGGAAGCCAUGAUGCAGCGGCGCCGGGUAGGGGAGGAAGGUGUUCGGAUUGUGAACUCGUGUUGUAGGGGGAGAUAAUGACGGUACCCAACAAAGAAGUAACGGCUAACUACGUG